rnacentral:rRNA from 1 species
UUGGAGGGCAAGUCUGGUGCCAGCAGCCGCGGUAAUUCCAGCUCCAAUAGCGUAUAUUAAAGUUGUUGCAGUUAAAAAGCUCGUAGUUGAAUUUCGGGGUUAGUAGGUUGGUCACGCCUCUGGUAUGUACUGGUCUCACUGAUUCCUCCUUCCUGAUGAGCCGUAAUGCCAUUAAUUUGGUGUUGCGGGGAAUUUGGACUGUUACUUUGAGAAAAUUAGAGUGUUUAAAGCAAGCUAACGCUUGAAUACAUUAGCAUGGAAUAAUGAAAUAGGACGUUCGAUCCUAUUUUGUUGGUUUCUAGGAUUGACGUAAUGAUUAAUAGGGAUAGUUGGGGGCAUUAGUAUUCAAUUGUCAGAGGUGAGAUUCUUGGAUUUAUUGAAGACUAACUACUGCGAAAGCAUUUGCCAAGGAUGUUUUCAUUAAUCAAGAACGAAAGUUAGGGGAUCGAAGACGAUCAGAUACCGUCGUAGUCUUAACCAUAAACUAUGCCGACUAGGGAUCGGAUGAUGUUAAUUUUUUAAUGACUCAUUCGGCGCCUUACGGGAAACCAAAGUGUUUGGGUU